rnacentral:lncRNA from 1 species
UGUUCAUAUCUGCCUUGUCCUCCAAUUUUUCAUCAGUCUCCUCAAGUGCAAGAGUGGGGAUAUAGGAGUGUAAGACAGUAGAUGGUGCACUAGUAGGCUCAUGACUCUGCUCCUCAUCCUCUAUGCGAGUGACACUAUCAUCAUCAGUAAUCUGAACAUUCUGAAUUGGAGGUCCCUCUAAAACACGAGACUAUUCCUCAAUGGCCUGCCUGGCUAUCUGCCCCCACAACUCAUUCAAUGUUGGCUCAGAAGAAGUAGAAGAUUUGGAAGGUGGUCGGGCAGAUGCCUCUUGUUGUUCCCGUUUCCUCUGAUUUUUCUGUUGUGGCUGCCUGUUAUUGUAGAUGUUGGUAGCAUAAGCUUGAGGCUCAUCAUGAGAUACAGGGUGCUCUGAAGACGGACAAGCAUCCGUAUAGUGGUCAUUGGAAGAACAUAAAGCACACAACCGUGUAACAGAUGCAAAUGGAGGUUAGAUGCCAGCUGUGUCACCAAACUCUCCA